CCUACGGGAGGCAGCAGUGGGGAAUAUUGGGCAAUGGGCGCAAGCCUGACCCAGCAACGCCGCGUGAAGGAAGAAGGCUUUCGGGUUGUACACUUCUUUUAAGAGGGAAGCGCAGAAGACGGUACCUCUUGCAUAAGCUCCGGCUAACUACGUGCCAGCAGCCGCGGUAAUACGUAGGGCGCGAGCGUUGUCCGGAUUUACUGGGUGUAAAGGGUGUGCAGCCGGGAGGACAAGUCAGAUGUGAAAUCCCGCGGCUCAACCGCGGAACUGCAGUUGAAACUGUAUUUCUUGAGUGCUGGAGAGGCAGGCGGAAUGCGUGGUGUAGCGGUGAAAUGCGUAGAUAUUAGGAGGAACACCAGUGGCGAAGGCGGUCUGCUGGACAGCAACUGACGGUGAGGCGCGAAAGCGUGGGGAGCAAACAGGAUUAGAUACCCUUGUAGUC
rnacentral:rRNA from 1 species